AUCGUCGUCGAAUGGAUGUGACGUGUCGCUAGCGAGGUAUAGAGUUCCUACGUCUUGUCACUGAAUUCAAGUCGAUUGGUAGGAACUUCAUACCGUGCUCUCGACGCCAAUCCGAUAGUCUCCGAUUCAUC
rnacentral:pre_miRNA from 11 species